rnacentral:rRNA from 1 species
UACGUAGGGCGCAAGCGUUGUCCGGAAUUAUUGGGCGUAAAGAGCUCGUAGGCGGCUCAGUAAGUCAGGUGUGAAACCUCCAGGCUCAACCUGGAGACGCCACCUGAUACUGCUGUGGCUAGAGUCCGGUAGGGGAGCGUGGAAUUCCUGGUGUAGCGGUGAAAUGCGCAGAGUAUCAGGAGGAACACCGGUGGCGAAGGCGGGUCUCUGGGCCGAUACUGACGCUGGAGGAGCGAAAGCCGUGGGGAGCGAACAGG